rnacentral:lncRNA from 1 species
UGGCCCCGAAUCUCUCAUAUUCCCUGCAUCGAAAUUGAAGACUAAUUGAAAGAAAGGCAAUCUAGGCUGUAUUGUGAACUCUAAAGUGUGAUAAGGAAUUAACGGAGAUUGAAGACCAAGAUUAUCACACCAGAGGCUAAGUUAGAGUAAAAGGGUCAAAGUGGCUGAUGAGUUUCCAGACGAAGACUAAACAAAUGAACAAGGGACAAGAUGAGUUCUAGAUGGAAUAUUUAGGUGGAAGGUAACAAAUGAUGCUUAAUCUUUACGUUGAUGGUGGUAUGGAGUUGGUCCAUGAUUUACCAGACUCGUAUUUGGCGCAACUAGACACACAGAAGUGAGCUAGAAAAUGGCUUAAAACUGAAAAGGGCAUAACUUUCAUCACAUGUGGAGUUACACGUCUCAACGAGCCACGUGCUUGGACAAAUGUAAUAGACAAAACCCGACUC